ACCCUUUUAGCACAAUAGGAUAGGGCAUCAGUUUUCUAAAUUGACGAUUGGGGUUCGAAUCCCCAAAAGGGUACCA
rnacentral:tRNA from 1 species